rnacentral:rRNA from 1 species
UAACAAGGAUUCCCCUAGUAACUGCGAGUGAAGAGGGAAAAGCUCAAAUUUAAAAUCUGGCGGGCCCUGCUCGUCCGAGUUGUAAUCUGGAGAAGCGUUUUCCGCGUCGGACCGUGCAUAAGUCUCCUGGAACGGAGCGUCAUAGAGGGUGAGAAUCCCGUCGAUGGCACGGACCGCCGAUGCUUUGUGAUACGUUUUCAAAGAGUCGAGUUGUUUGGGAAUGCAGCUCAAAACGGGUGGUAAAUUCCAUCUAAAGCUAAAUAUUGGCGAGAGACCGAUAGCGAACAAGUACCGUGAGGGAAAGAUGAAAAGCACUUUGGAAAGAGAGUUAAACAGUACGUGAAAUUGUUGAAAGGGAAACGCUUGAAGUCAGUCGCGUCCGACGGAACUCAGCCUUGCUUCGGCCUGGUGUACUUUCUGUCGGACGGGUCAACAUCAGUUUUGACCGGUGGAAAAAGGCAGGGGGAAUGUAGCGCCGUUUCGGCGGCGUGUUAUAGCCCCUUGCUGGAUGCAUCGGUCGGGACUGAGGACCGCAGCACGCCUUUUUGGCCGGGGGCUCGCCCUACGUACCGUGCUUAGGAUGUUGGCAUAAUGGCUUUAAGCGACCCGUCUUGAAACACGGACCAAGGAGUCCAACAUGCUUGCGAGUGUUCGGGUGGAAAACCCUUGCGCGUAAUGAAAGUAACAGUUGGGAACCUCCGCAAGGGGGUGCACCGACGCCCGGCCCUGACGUUCUCUGACGGUGCUGCGGUAGAGCAAGUAUGCUGGGACCCGAAAGAUGGUGAACUAUGCCUGAAUAGGGCGAAGCCAGAGGAAACUCUGGUGGAGGCUCGUAGCGAUUCUGACGUGCAAAUCGAUCGUCAAAUUUGGG